AGGACGAACGCUGGCGGCGCGCUUAACACAUGCAAGUCGAGCGAGAACCAGGGCUUCGGCUCUGGGGACAGCGGCGAACGGGUGAGUAACACGUGAGUAAUCUGCCCUCGACACUGGGAUAGCCCGGGGAAACCCGGAUUAAUACCGGAUAGCCUUUCGAGCUCUCGGGCUCGUCAGAAAAGGAUGGCUUCGGCUUUCGGUUGAGGAUGAGCUUGCGGCGGAUUAGCUUGUUGGUGAGGUAACGGCUCACCAAGGCGACAAUCCGUAGCUGGUCUGAGAGGACGAUCAGCCACACUGGGACUGAGACACGGCCCAGACUCCUACGGGAGGCAGCAGUGGGGAAUCGUUGCGCAAUGAGCGAAAGCUUGACGCAGCGACGCCGCGUGAGGAAGAGGCCGUUCGGUUAGUAACCUCUUACGAGGAGGACGAAGCCGCGUCGGCUAACGACCCGAGACGGUACGACGGUACCUCCGAACGAACGAACGCCCCGACUAACGUACGUACG
rnacentral:rRNA from 1 species